CUCAGCAAACAAGAUUUGGAAAGAAGAAAUAUAACCAUCACCCUGGAGUUACGGACUACAUGGAUCGUUUGGUAGAUGAAGCUGAAUCCCUUGGAGGAGCAGUGCAUUCUUCAGCCUUAACAUCUAAUAGUCGAACAGAAACCAUUCCUGAUCAACAGCUAAGCAUUCUGAAUUCUAUCACUGCCAAUGAGUUGACAGCGCUGACAAACAGUGUAGCUACAGUCUGCCACACUUCAGAUGUGAACUGCCUGGAUGAUGCUUUUCCUCCCAUGGACAGCUUACCCCGAGCACCAGUUAAUCAUGUGCCUGUUGGAACAGA